rnacentral:rRNA from 1 species
GUAGGUGGCAAGCGUUGUCCGGAAUUAUUGGGCGUAAAGCGCGCGCAGGCGGUUCUUUAAGUCUGAUGUGAAAGCCCACGGGCUCAACCGUGGAGGGUCAUUGGAAACUGGAGAACCUGAGUACAGAAGAGGAAAGCGGAAUUCCACGUGUAGAGGUGAAAUGCGUAGAGAUGUGGAGGAACACCAGUGGCGAAGGCGGCUUUCUGGUCUGUAACUGACGCUGAGGCGCGAAAGCGUGGGGAGCAAACAGGAUUAGAUACCCUGGUAGUCCACGCCGUAAACGAUGAGUGCUAAGUGUUAGGGGGUUUCCGCCCCUUAGUGCUGCAGCUAACGCAUUAAGCACUCCGCCUGGGGAGUACGGCCGCAAAGGCUG